CAAAAUAUACUGUAACAUUUUUCUUUGGAGAAUGAAAAGCCUUUCCUUUCAACUUCUGUUAUUGGUUUCUCUUCUUCUUGUUUUUCGAUAUCCUCUGGUGCAAGGUAGGUUAAGGGAUUUUUACGACAAACCUUGCAAUCCAAUGGAUCCACAUUGCGGAAAACCUUGUAAUCCAGAGAAUCCAAAUUGCAUAAUGGAUACAAAAAGAUUCGAUGUGAAUUAUUACGACAAACCUUGCAAUCCAUAUGAUCCAAAGUGCGAUAAACCUUGUAAUCCAGAGAAUCCAAAUUGCUGAAAAAAACAAGGCGUUGAUGGGAAAAAGAAGCAGUAAUAAUGGUAGCGAUGGAAAUUUCUGUUAUAAGAUAUGUGAAUGUCUAGUAAAACUUAUUUAUUGAAUAAACCGUGUUUUAUCCAAAUGUUUUUAUCAAUAAGAUCUGGUUAUAUA